rnacentral:rRNA from 1 species
AUGGGGUGCAGCAGGCGAGAAAACUUUGCAAUGUGCGAAAGCACGACAAGGUUAAUCCGAGUGUUUUCUGCUAAAGAAAUCUUUUGUUAGUUCUAAAUCCACUAUCGAAUAAGGGGUGGGCAAGUUCUGGUGUCAGCCGCCGCGGUAAAACCAGCACCUCAAGUGGUCAGGAUGAUUAUUGGGCCUAAAGCAUCCGUAGCCGGCUAUGUUAGUUCUCGGUUAAAUCCAUGUGCUCAACACAUGGGCUGUCGAGAAUACUGCAUAGCUAGGGAGUGGGAGAGGUAGACGGUACUCGGUAGGAAGGGGUAAAAUCCUUUGAUCUAUUGAUGACCACCAGUGGCGAAGGCGGUCUACCAGAACACGUCCGACGGUGAGGGAUGAAAGCUGGGGGAGCAAACCGGAUUAGAUACCCGGGUAGUCCCAGCUGUAAACUAUGCAAACUCAGUGAUGCAUUGGCUUGUGGCCAGUGCAGUGCCGCAGAGAAGUCGUUAAGUUUGCCGCCUGGGAAGUACGUACGCAAGUAUGAAACUUAAAGGAAUUGGCGGGGGAGCAC